GGUCCUUAGCGCCUUGAUGACGGCAGGAACACGCGGCUGACAGCGCGCGCCGGAGCCAUAAAACAGAGCUGCCACGCAGGGGCACAAUGCGCGGCAAUAUGAAUAUUGCUCAAACUUAAUCCAAUUAGCUUGUAUUGAAGAAAGAUGAAAAUGUUCAAUACUUAGAGAAAAUGGUGUAUACAGAUGGAGACGUGGCCAUAUGAAAUCACACGUCCAGGCAAUCAACGCUGAAAACAUCACGCAAAUGCAAGCGAUAAAUCGCGGUGUUUCACAUUGUUGCAGUGUGUGUGCACUGCUUCUUGUGAUUGGGAGCACCUGCACACAGUGCGCGUUCAUAUAGCCUAUUAGGGAUACAAACCAGACCAUUUUCAAAUUGAACCUUAUUGAAUGAAAGAAGAGAGGGAGGGAGAAAUAAAAGCCAGCUACCAAUUUCGUCCAUUUAACUGACUCUUAAAUCAGACUUGAUUGAAAGGGAACAAAGAGAAUUAGAAAAAGCAGCUCUUUUGAUGAUACACACAGGAUAUGAUGACAUUCAGCAGUUCUGCUCUGACACUGAAGCCACCGGCAAUGCAUGUUUGCAUGAUGGCCAUAAGGACACGACAGAAUCUCCCAGUGCAUCCUUGUGAACCGGGUCAAAGCUGAAGCGCAACAUCGCACACAGCCGACUCCCAUCAGCAUAGAGUGCGAGCGUCCCGUGGUGCAUGCUACCAUCUGUCCAUCAGCGGAUUCCCUUUGAGUGUAGGAUACCCAGUGGUGUUCCAGAGGUCUGGACCCACAUUAGCACAACAUCAAACAGGCUCCCUCCUACACAUGCAGCACUGCAUGUGCUCCUGCUUAUCUUAUCUGAGACGGAAGGAGGAAGUCACCCCUCUGGUCCAUCCCUGUAGAAUUAGGCUUGACCUUUCUCAUGCAAAGCUGAGAGAACUUGGAGAGGUUUUCUGCCCCGGCGACUGGGAUUGUGUCCAGGGAUACUGCUUUAAUGGGGCACCUGCUGUGCUAUUGUUAAAAAUAAAGAUAGGUUUUUUCCCCCAAAUGGCUCUGUAAGCUAUGGAUGGCAAAAGACAAUCCAGAUUGGGACUUGAGGUGAUGUGGCGUCACCUAUUGCAAUUCCUCCAUGAGCACCCCGGGCUGCGAGCGCAGGCUGUGUUCAGUGAACCUCCUGGGGCAGGAAGGGCUAACAACCCUUGCAUUGAUCCAAGGAGACACUCAGCCCUCUAACCUGCUGAGUGCUCAGUUCAGGAGAACAAUGGAGUUCAGCACACAUCAAUACAGCAGCAGCCUAUUGAGCGCACUCCGUUUAGUAAAGCCGACUGAUGAGGUUGAAGCUCCCGAGAACCUUCAGUGUCUGUAAAAAAAAAACCCUUUCUUUCCAUCGCUCUGAAAGGACAAAAAGACUUGAGCCAACUUGUGUUCCCAGCUCCAGCUUUCCAGCAUCUUAACCUGUUACUAUGAAUCACGUUGGGCCAAAAUGACCGGUAAGCCUCACCUACAGUACCACUCAAAGAGUUGGAGAUUGGGAUGGAAGAGGCUUUCUGGGCAGGAAUGCACUGCUUGUCCCAUAAGACACUAAAUGAUGUACAAGUGCAUUUAUUACAGCAGCCCCUAUAAAUCUGAGCCUGGCCUGAACUCCGGGGAGAGGUUAAUGGAUUACAAAGGGAUGCGGUAUCGAACCUUUGAGAAGUUUAUACACCACAUCAAUAUGUGCAAGGCUAUUGAUCAUUUAGACCUUGACAGACAAAUUAAAUUCAUAAACUUGAUAAUGCACUGGAAUAUUUGUAUUGCUUACUACAGUGGAACGGGGCC
ensembl:lncRNA